rnacentral:rRNA from 1 species
CAAAAACAUAGCCAGUAGAAUUUAUUUCUGGUUUUACCUGCCCUAUGAUAUUUAAAUGGCCGCAGUACUUUGACUGUGCUAAGGUAGCGUAAUCAGUUGGCUUUUAAAUGGAGUCGGGUAUGAAUGGAAUAACCGGGCUUGACUGUCUUUAAAAUAUUUAUUUUAAUUUGCUUUUUAAGUGAAAAAGCUUAAAUGUACAAAAAAGACGAGAAGACCCUUAGAAUUUUAAAUUAUUAAAACUUUCGUUUUUAUUGGGGCAAUAAAGAAACACAAGAAACUUUCUUAUUUUACAAGCCGAUAAUUUUAAGCAAGAAUAAAUUACCUGAGGGAUAACAGCAUUAUUUUAAAGUUAAGUUUGUGACCUCGAUGUUGGACUAGGAAACUGGCAAGCUAGCCGUUUGUUAUGUUGGUUCUGUUCGAACUCCCAUUCCU